rnacentral:lncRNA from 1 species
AUUGAAGAACCUGGAGAACGAUGAAGAACGAACCAGUUGCUGCAAAAGUACAAUGUUGAGGAAGAUCCGACAGAUCCGGCUCCUCCUCCUCCGUUCUCCUCUUCUCUCUCCCUAUUUUCUAGAUUACAACUAGAACGAACUAGAACUAGAGGAACUAGAACUAGAACUAGAUGAACUAGAACUAGAUCUAGAUGAACUAGAAGUAGAACUAGAAGAACUAGAGGGAUCCUCUCUACUUGGAUGAAGAAUUGAAACCCUAGCUUUGAUUCUGUAGAAGAGGUAUGAUCUCCAGGGGCCAGGGGAUCUGGUUUUAUAGUCCCUUCAUGUGAAUCUGGGCCGUCGGAUCAAACCGACAUUGAUCGCACGGUUUCCUUGAUCCUUUAGGUCGGUGGAGCAUAAUCCGCGAAACGUGUCCUGAUUGGGCACUGUAGCUGGGCGGGCGCCCAGGAGAGUUGGGCGGGCGCCCUGCCUCCGAGCCCGAUUUCCUUCCCGUUCGUUCUCGUGGCUUCUGGAGUCUUCUAGAUGAUAGAAAAUUGCGCGACACGUUAAUAUCUCUAUGUAAACCCGACGUGUGGGCCUUUCUUUCAUAUUUCCUGAUAACCCCCUGCAGAAAUAGACAAACACCAAAACUCGUCGAAUUCUGUCGGAUAAAACCCUAAGUCUAGGUGUUGGUUGCAUUUGGAUCCUUUUCCAUGAUUAGUUGAUGGUUAAAUGUGAGCAUUAUGGACCGUCAACAAGCUCCCCCAAGCUUAACCUUUGCUCGUCCCUGAGCAAAGCUAAAAUUAGCAAGAAAACAGGGGUUACUUUUAUGCCUCUUACUACAGGGUUUUUAAGUUAUCACUAAGGUCUUAAGUGAUUGAAACUCAUGUAUUUCCAUUUUCUCUAUAAAUACAAAUGUGGUUUGACGUACCAAAAAAAUAGUAGACAGAUAGAAAUAGAGAAUUAAAAAAAAAUAAAUGGAAAUAGUGAUUUUGGACAGUUGAACUGUAUCUCAAUACAAACAUUAAUGCAGAAAUUGCCUAACUGUCUCAGUAAUGUGGCUAAACAUAAAAUAUGAGCAAUUCCAACCAUCAACCACCUUUCCAAAGACAUAGGAGAGAAGUGUAGCACCAACUACACUUAGAUUUUGCUUGCAUGUGUUGUCGGAUUUACCUCAAUGGACAUGUGUUGGUUUAGGGGGAUUAAAGUGGUACGUCCAACUAGAUGCAAACAAGGCCUUACAGUGGAAUUGGUACCAAUGGCUGAACAUUGAAUUAAUGUUAGGCAGUCAGGCAAGUGUCGCAAAAAUUGUAUAAGUUGGUUUAUGUAAUUGUUCAAUUUUGUUGCCCUGUUCAUUCUCUGGUACGGUCACCCACUAGGACACAAACAUUAAUGGAGGCGUUCAUUUUGGAUUAAUGGAGGUGAGCGUUGCAACCACAUCUAACAAAUGGUCACGGUUAAUCUGUGGACUAUGGAUGCGGUUGCUUUUGCCUGCCUCAGUAAAUAAAGAAACAGAGACAGGCGUCUUGUAAUCACCUGCCUUGGUUAAUGGAUUAAAAAACAAAAAAAAAGAGCCCACCAGCGGGCCCGUUUCUGAGCUCACCGGUGAGCGCACUCGUAGCCCUAGAUCCAGGUACACCACUGUGAACCAUGAUGCUAGUGCCAUGAGCUGAAUCCACCACUCGGGGGGGCGUGCACCACUAGAUCUGCCACUCCAAAUUGCACUGUUGCUCCGGUUGCAUGCCGCUCACAGAGAACCAAGCGAAGGUAAGGCAAGGCCAACACUUGAGGAUGUGGGGGAGGGGUGCUCACCUCUCUCCUCUUAGCCUCUCCACAUCUAUUACAUAGGAGAGGGGAGCUGCCACCGCCAUCGGAUCCGCUGCGGGAUGGCCACUGCCAUUGCUCAAGGAUGUGAGGACCACGAGGGACCGCCCCGCGUUCUCGCUACACCACCGGAUGGAGAGGGGCGGCCUCAGGAGGGAGACGAAGGCCGCCACCGACCGGUUCUAGGAGGGGGUGGCCGCUAACCACCAGAUCUGGGAGGGGAGUCCACCACCCUCCGAAUCUAGGAUGGGGGAGGAAGGAGAGCCCCACUACAUCACCGUCAAUAGGGAGGGAGGGAGUUGCACUGCUGGAGGUAGAGUGGCGGCUACCAGAUGGAGGAAGGGUUGAAGGGAGUUGGCAUCCAUGCGCCCAUGGAGAGAGAAGAAGGUGAGGGAGAGGGGCACCACUCGGAGGGAGGGGUAGAGAGCAUCGUUCGGCAAAGGAGGGAGAGAGAAGUGUGCUCAGGAGAGAGCCCCACUCCGCUGAGGGAGAGGGAGGCGAAGUGAAGCAACAAAACCUAACAUCCUAUAUUAAUGUCGAAGAUGGCUAACGUGCCUCGACUGGGCCUAUUAGGCCUUGGCCUUUUUCAUGGGCAGGCUUUAUAGUGUGUCCGUCUCUAAAAAAAAGAUUUAUGAAGACGUGCACCUUAAGGCGACCUCCUCAAAAAAUAGUCGUAAGGUGCCCGCCUCCAUAUGAGUCCAUUUAUGGAGGUGGCCAAAAGUGAUCGCCUCCGUAUAUGAAAAUGCCCACCUCCAUUAAUUGUCUAGGAUUUUCCGAGGCGAUUGGAUUUUGAGAUGAUCUCCAUUAAAUAAAGUGCAAGGCCACUCAAAAUCAAGUAUGUAUAGUAGUGACCAGCCACCAUAUAUUGGUGUUUUACUGCAAUCGUCAACGCAUUCAAUCUUUCGUUAACAAAAAUAUACGGUAGCUAGUUAACAAGAACAUAGCUAGCUACUAGUUAACGAAAUGGUACACAAUUGGGAUAGAAGGAUGGCUUCAGUCAGUAGAACAUGAUGGUGCUUAUUCUUCACUGUAACACACGUAUUUUGUACCCGCGCAUUGCCACACCACAAAUAGAGUAGAGAAAAUAAACAAUUAAGAGGUAAUGUUGUAGGUGGAGCGUUCAAAUGUUAUUAUGCAAAUACUUUAACCAAUAUUAUCUAUAUCGAGGAAUUUUAUGGUAGUUGGAGAAAAUAGGAACUCUCUCCCAGGCAAUGAUAUCGGAAAGUACCAAACUGGUAGGACCGGUACCAAAUAUACAUGGAAGGAUACUUAAUUUAAUUAUUAUUUUAAUAAGUAAAAGGCAUAUAGGUAAUUUCAUAUAUCUGUAAUAUGACAUAUCUGGACUGAAUUUACAUUUUCACCCCCAUUGGUGGGGUUAGGAAAUUAAUGAUAGGGGUAUACAAUUACUACAAUACCCUUAUCUAUUAAAUUAACAAUUAAUUCUUUAUUUCAAUUUAAAUGGUGAGAUCACUGGUCAUAAAAAAUCAAAAGGCAAUGACACCUGAUGGUACCGUCCAACCACUAUAAAACAGCUCAUAUCGAUCAAUACUAGAUAGAUGUCCAUGCGUUGCACCAGGAUUCAAUCAUUUUUAAAUUUGCAAAUAUUAUAAUAAGUUAAUAAAUGAUUUUGCAUUUGGUUCAAAUCCAUCCAGCUGGGUGAAAUCACGGUUGGUUGAUCAUUACUGGUUUUAGCCACGAACCAAUAGUGAUAAUGGAUCAUCAUUGUGCAUUCAUGGCAUGCAAUCAUCGACGGAAUGGGGCAGCAGUGCAAAUAUUGAUGGAAGUGGAUUUUUCUAGAGCUUUUUUAGGUUCCUGUUCUGGUCUGGUCGAUUACUUGGGUUCAAUUCAAUCUGUUUUUGUAGAGUUUUUUUAGUAGAUGGCUGUAGAUUUUUUUUUCUUUCGGGCUGGUCCCGGUCCAGUCCGAUCCUAGUUUUUUUUUUUUUUUACGGAGACUUUUUUUUACCAGAGACUUCGUUCUGCCGGACAUGGAUGAUUUCUCCACAAAUUUAUCAGCAGGUGUAUAAAUAUGUCCACAAAUGUACCAUGUUUUUCGAAUGCAUACAAUCCACAAAUUUAAACUUUCACUGUACCAUGUAUUUGUAAUCAUUGGAUUUGUCAUAAAAUAUGUUUUCAUCACAUUGUACAUCCAUAUUUUUAUUCAAAUUUUAUGUAAAACGUUGUAAUAAACGGGAAUGGGUAAUUACGCUAGAAAUAAACUAUCCUGAGAUAUUUAAAUUAAAUUUGGUUCAUGGAAUAUUGUGCAAUCGAUUAUGUGCUUUGAAAUAGUAAUAUUUUUCAAAUAAGUAAACAACAAUGUGCAUGAUCAAAAGUCUUAUAUCAUAGAUUUCAAACCUUAAUUUUAUUAGCAGCCUUUCGGUAGUUAUGCUUUUUUUUCACCUAGGGCCAAGGAGGUGGAGAUAUUAUAUAUAGAUCUUGAUGUUGACUCUUCACGUAGGAAACAUUUUGAACUAAAGGUUUUCACUAUAAUGUCAGUUCACAUCUAAAUUAACAGUUGCAUUGUGAUACAUUAUAACGGAAAACUAAAAAUUGGUAAUGAAUAUAAUUAUGGCAGAUGAUUCAGUUAACCAGAUUAUUUCAAUUGACAAGCAUGACCAUAUGGUACAAGCCCAAUGUUUAUGAUUAAUGAUUCAAUAUACUAGAUAAAUGCUUCAGUCAGUUUUGUUUCUUUGAGAUAUAAUAUCUAAUUUCUAUUUAUCUUUCCCUUGUUAUGGUGGUAUCUACUUAUCUAGAAGGAAUGAGUUCACAACAGCGUCGAACAGAUUUGGAAAUACGGGUACAUGACCUUUUCAUCUCCUAUUCACAUAGUAACACAAUGGAUUCCAUUUUGUAGUGAAUUACUAGUACUUUAUAAAUGCUUAUAGUUUUGUGAAAUGUUUUUGCCAAUUAUUUUAGAGCCACGCUAAAGGCUCCUCUUGAGUCUAAGGCCCUGUUUAGUUACUCACCCAAAAAUUUUUCAUCCAUCCCAUCGAAUCUUUACACACAUGCAUGGAACAUUAAAUAUAUAUAAAAAAAUAAACUAAUUACACAGUUUGGUUGAAAAUCGCAAGACGAAUCUUUUAAGCCUAGUUACUCCAUAAUUAGCCUUAAUAAGUGCUACAGUAACCCACAUGUGCUAAUGAUAGAUUAAUUAUACUUAAUAUAUUUGUCUUGCAGUUUCCUGACGCGUUAUGUAAUUUGUUUUUUUAUUAGUUUCUACAAACCCUUCCCGACAUCCUUCCGACACAUCCGAUGUGACACCAAAAAAUUUUCAUCUUCAAUCUAAAUAGGGCCUAAGUUAGACUAUAACAACUAAUGCAUUCUAACUGUCCAGAUAUUGUUUAAUGUAAACAUAUGAAAUCCAUUCCUAGUCAAUAGUCCGUUUCAGGCAGGUCUAGAUAUCACUACUACUCAUAUAGGCAGGUCUAGACCUCUGAAUCAGGUAUUGGGAAGAAAAGUGAGAUUAAAACAACUUGACAAAAUGUUACGGUUGAAACACUUAGAUUUGAGACCAUUUUGAUGUCAACAUGUUAUUUUUAAUAUACAACAUAGUUAAUAUAAAAGUGGUGCAUCCAAGUGUUGUGUGGUGUCGUGGUUGAGGGUGGCUUGUGUGAUGUAAGAUCACAUUUGAAUCAGAAGGAGGUCACAUUUUAUCAAACAAGUGGGAAGAAAGGAGGAAUUUAAAUAGAUUAAAGGAGAAGGACCCGGUGAGCUUCAGUCGCCAAACAGAGAUUUUUUUUAGCCUAGUUUCAUAUUUUGAAACAAUUUUUUUAAAAAAAAAAUCGGUUUCCACCAUCUGCAAAUUAAUUGGUCUUCACUGCGCCGGCCUGCAUGCACAUCACGAGCGAGCGAAAAUGAAAGGAACAUUUACACAUGACCUAAUUAACUCCCAACAACUCUCCGGUUAGUGACAACAUAAGCAUGCAUGCACAUCAUAUCAUAAUUGAUCCUUGUUCAUGACGCACAAUCCGAAUGCUUCUUCAGACAACAGAUUUUAAUUUAAUAAAUGACCAGUUUAUGUUUUUCAUAUAAAAUCUGAAAAUCGAAAUUUAUGCCGACAUGCAUCUUGCUUAUCUUCCUGUCUACAUUUUGUACUAUGUAUGUAGGAUGAAAAACGAAGUCAAGCCCAGAGAAUGAUUAAUGAAAACCUCUCUGCUUUCUACAGCAGGGGAGUCCCUGCGGUGAACAUCUGGAUGGCCGUGUCUUUCUUUGCCAAGAUGAAACACCACCAAGUCAGUUUGACAUCGCCGUGCACCAUCAUGUAUCUGGCGUGCCUCAUCCUAUCGUCCCUCACUGACAUGGAAAUGAACAUGAUGUUUGUGACCGGCCACUUCAGGGGGCGAUGGAUGAUGGCCUACCUGUCAACAAUCCUUCAAAUCUCCGCCACUACCGCCCUAGUGCUCUUCUUCAACACCACAAACACCGUGGCCGUGUUUUCUCUCUUCGGCUUGGUCCUUGCACUUGUCAUCUACUUCUUGCGUCAGGUGCUUAGCCCCGGAAAAGUACUUGGGUUGAGGUGGCUAGAUUUCAAGGAAUUACUGAAUCAAAGAUUUGAGAUGGCUGCCCUGGUCGUGGAACCGUCGGUUGCAGGGCUGUCUGGUAAAGUACUUGGCUACUCAUCAAAUGAUCUGAUCGGUGGUGGUGCCGGACAGUACACUACGGUAGUGGCACCUGAAUGCUUCUUGUUCUACAGCGCUGUCUCUGGCCUUCUCGUGGUGCUUUUCUGCACGGUGCCACCCGCACUGACCUUCACGAGCGACAUUGAGCGUACGGCCAUUGAAUACAUGCCCAAGAUCGCCUACAUGGCACUAUUCUUCCUCGUCGUAGCCACUGUCGUGGCUGCUCAGAAGGUCCUCCAGGAGUAUGUAUACUUGCUGUGCUGUCCCAUUGCCAUCUUGGCUCUGUUCCUCUACUUGCGUGAUGCACAUCAAGCAGGUCCACCUGGCCGCCGCCUGCCAACAACAACACAAGAUCUUCUACCAGCUGAACAACGCAGCCUGAAUGAUGAGAGGCAAGAAGAAGCCAAGUUAUCCAAAUAUCUUUUCACGUCUUGUAUCUCGUCCAUUCUCAUAGCAAUCAUGGCCAUCCAUUCAAGUUACGGCUCCAUCGGCACAACGGUGUCAGUGAGCUGGUCAUGGAGAGCCUUUGUGGGCUUUGGGGUGUGUAGCAUCCUCAGCCACACAGUUCGCAUUCUGAUUUUGGAUCGGAUGACAGACACAAAAAGGUACGAAUUCUCCAGGAAGUUCUGGCUUUCCGUGACUUGUGCUGCCAUCAUAAUUACUGCCGAUCUUGCUGUGUUUGUCAUAUGCCUGCACCUAGAUGAGGUCCAAACUCCAAAGUAUAUUCUGAUCGAGCUUUAUUCUGCUUUGUGAGCUGAUCGAGUAAUAAGACACCAUGGGCAUCGCUCCUGCUUGUUUGAUGAAUGCUGAUCAAGGGUCAUGCAUGGAUCCUCGAAGUAUCUAUAAUUUGUUCAGUUAAAAAAAUCAUGUAUAUAUGAUUUGUUGUAAUAGCUAGUUGCCAUUCCGUGCAUUAUUGCAGGACUGGGCUAGCUAGUUUUUUUUCUAAUCUGUCUUGUUUUGAAAACAACCUUUUUAUUAAGAGAUGUUUCGGUGCUCCAGAAGUCCAGACUCCAGACUGGGAUACUGCGCUUUUUUUUAUCUCAAACUCUGCACUCAUUGCCUUGUAGUAAAGACUGCGCCCGAGAGCUCAUCCAAAUCGUGAGCUACAGUGACAUUUACAAACCGUUGGGAGAGGAUCGCUCCAAACAGAGGAUCGACAUGAGUCCCAACUCAUGCCGAUCUUAGCAAUCUCAUGCGUAGACGAUUUACAAGCACGUGGAACACUCAAUACUCUUGAACACCUAAAAUGAUCAGAAAAUAGCUCAGGAAUACAUCUAAGCAGGUCCCCAUUUGAAGCGAGGUACCGAGUAGUCGAGUUGAUCGCCUGCUACACUUCACCCCCGCACAUAUGUCAGGAAGAUACUAUUCAUAGGUGACAGGCACCACCUUUCUCAUCUGUCACCUCCAAGACACUACAGGAAACGGGAGCUUUGCCGAGGGCCCAACUUUGCCGAGAGCUAGACCCUCGACAAAGACUACCUUUACUGACAACCAACAAGGACCCUCGGCAAAUAAAGAGCCUUUGCCGACAGAAAGCUCUCAGCAAAGCUAGGCACUCGGCAAAGGCCAGCUUUGCCGAGACGCUGGCUCUCAGCAAUGACAGGUUCUCGGCAAAGGAGCCGCGCCAGGAACGACGACUUCCGUUGUCGUCACCUUUGCCGAGAGCCACACCGUUAGACUCUCGGCAAAGAGGAGGUCUUUCUCGGGCGCCUUGUGAAGCACUCGGCAAAUGUCACGUGGCCUAAAGCUAGGCCCAGGCCAGCAACCUUUGCCGAGCGCUGCCCACUCCGGCUCUCAGCAAAGAGCCCCUUUGCCGAUGGCCAGCAGUGGCCCUCGGCAAAGAGGAAAGGUUUUUUUUAGUUUUGGACACAAACUUUUUCUGUAACCCUUGCAUAUCGUAUACAAGCACGUGUUCAAAUUUGGGAGCUUUUUGUAAUAUUUUGCUAUAUUUUAACAAUUAAAUUAUUUUCUUUGUAUUUUUCACAAAAAAUUAAAUUUGAAAUGUAGCAGCAUGAAAUAAUAAAAUAUAGCCAUUCAAAAAAUGAUAUUCAUGUUCGAGAGUGCAUUUUGAGGUUGUAUCCAUAAACUCACUCAAAUGUUUGAAUUUCUUGUAUACAAAACAUGACCAUCCAUGUGUCGUAGAAGUGAUUUUUAAUUAUAUAAAUUCCAAAUGAUGUCCAAAAAUCAUGAAACUUGGCGACAUGUCGUGUUAUCGCAUGUGGAGGAUGUGAUAAAAAAAUCAUAAGGUUUCGAACAAGUUGCGACACAUGUGGAGAUGUCUGGGUUUUAGACAUCUGGUGUCGCAACUUGUUCGAAACCUUAUGAAUUUUUUACCACAGUCUCCACAUGCGAUAACACGACAUGUCGCCAAGUUUUGUGAUUUUUUAACUUCAUUUGGAAUUUAUAUAAUUAAAAAUCACUUUUCCCUCACAUUCCUCGACAUGUAGAGGGUUGAGAUUUCAUGUGUGGUUGUGGAUAUGGCCUCAACGUACACCAAAUAUCUUGACUAUCAUUUUUUGAGUCACUGAGUUCUAAUAUUUCAUGUACUUGUAGUUCAAAUUUGAAUUAUGUAAAAAAAUUUAAAGAAACAAAAUUAAUUAGUUAAAUAUGGCAAAAAAGUCAAAUUAAUGCCAAAUUUUGAAAUGUAUUUAGAAAUUGGGUUAGAAGGACAAAAAACUCAGCUCUAAUAUCAAAAAGAAUAAAAAAGGCAACACUUCUUUGCCGAGAGCCUGCCCUUUAGGCUCUCGGCAAAGAGUCUUUGCCGAUAGCCGCACUGGCCGGCCCUGAGCCUGUCUCUGUGGUCUCGGCAAAGGGUAUUUUCUAAAAAAAAAGAAAUCCUCUCUCCUUAUCCCCAACCCCCGCGCUGCCCGCGCACACAAGCCACACACAGGCGCCUGUAAGCCACCGCCGCCCACGCCCACCCCCGCCCCUGGACACUGUGCACCGGCGCCCGCGCCCCACCCCCGCCCCUGGACGUCUGAAAGGUCCUUGUUUGGUUUUGGUAAUUGAGUGACAACUUAGGUGGACUAAUAGUGUUUAUGUGAGAUACACAGGAGAUUAGUCCACAGGUGAUGAUAUGAUGAUGGAGGAGCUCAUUGCAUAUGAGACAUGACAUGAAGUCAUGUGACCAAGGUGGAGAAGAUCAAGAUGAGGCUUGGCUCGAUGGACCGGUUGCAAGAGUGAAGGGCAAGUCGGAGGCUUUGAAGCGAGGGACCGCGUGUGACGGUGAAGCUUGAGCAAGACUUGGCGCCGAUGGACCGAGGCAACGGUGAAGAGCAAGUUAGGUCAAGAUCGAUGAACCAAUACGGUCACGUGAUGAUAUGAAGUGGAUCAUAUCAUUUUGUGAUUGAUUGGUGCAUGUGUUGCAUCAACAUUGGAGGAGAUGGAAUGGAAAGCGCAAGGCAAAGGGAUAACCUAGGGCAUUUCCAUUUCACCGGUCAUAGGUGUGUAGAGAAGUUUAUGACUGGAUUUAGGAUAGAUAGCCGUACUAUCAAGAGGGGCAAACUUGUUUGCAUAUCGGUCAUCUAGUGCCACUUGAGCGAUCUAAAUUUGCAUACGUGUUAGGAUCGAGUGGCGUGGCAAGUUUGAGAGGCUAACUCCUUUAGGAAAAUGUUUGUGAAAAUACUAACACACAUGCACUUGGUGGUGUACACUUGGUGGUGUCGGCGCUUUUGAGAAAAUUAAGUGCAUAUUUUUUAUUGCGCCGGUGGGAAGUUUGGAGAAGUCGUGGGAAGUGUUUCUCAGUAAGAAACACUCACCGGACGCUCUGUGCGGAGGCACCGGACGCUGGCCUUUAGCGUCCGGUGUACUGUCGGAUGUAGCAGAGUGCACCGGACGCACCGGAGUGAGUCCGGUGCUCAGCGUCCGGUGUGCGGGCGGUUUGGCGACCCUCUCUGCGCAUGAGUCCGGUGAGCACCGGACGCUCAGGGCGCGUCCGGUGGCUUGCGUCCGGUGACCCUGCGACUUUGCGGAGCUCUCUGCGCACGAGUCCGGUGAGCACCGGACGCGUCCGGUGUGACUGUUGGGUAUUAUAAACGCAAACAGAAAAAUCCGCAAGCGCACGGAUACCGAUGUAGCCUUCACCCGGCAACGGCAACGGCGCCAAAAAAAGCUCAAUCAUAUUAGUGAUGCGAAUGAUAACUCAAAAUCUUUUAUUCUAUUCCUGAUUAGUAAUCAACCUUUCCCGGCAACGGCGUCAAAAAUGCUUGUUGGGUAUUCUUAACAUCAUUACCAAAAGUAGACUAAGUUCUCUAAAUCUAGUAACGGUGCCAAAAAUGCCAAACCUAUCCCUCACACCACUUAAGCCAAGUUGUCAUCCCCAGCAUGACAUGAGAGACGCGGUAUUGAAAUAUGCAAUUACUCUUCUAAAUAAAUAAUGAAUGGGAUCUGCAAGCGCACAGAUUAAUACCGAUGCAGCAUUUUAACCGGAAAGUAUUUCAGGUAUCGUUAUUUAUAUUUUUACCACUGGGAAGGGAUUAGCAAUCAUCACUAUUGAUUACAGAAUAGGAUAUGAGAUUGAGCAUCUAUCAUUGCAUGUAUAAUUGAGAACAUUAUAUCUAACUCUUCAUACAGGGAUAAGUGUCACAUAAAAGAUAUAUGAAAUAAUAAUAGUGACAAGGAUAACUAAUCUGAUCUAGCCACAUAAUAAAUAUGAUAAGCACCUCAAUUAGAUACUCUAGAAAGUCAUUAGCAUGGUAUUAAAACGAACUACAAGAAUAUUCCCUAAGUUAUUCUCAACUAUAUAGUCUAGCAUAUCAUAGUUAGUGCAAGCAUACUUAGCAAUCAUUGUGAGACAAGACUACGCCCAUGCAUAGUGAUAUUAGCAAGGAAUAUGAGAAACAUAGCAAUCACUCCCCUGUAAUAAUGUUGCUCUGCCAGCCCAAUACACGAGAGGGGGACUAUAUAAGAAUCAAUGAAGCUGUCACUAUCACGAACCACCCCACGAUCUGGCAUAUUGGGUACAAUCGCAGAUAAAUACGGUAUAAGCACCACGCCUACACAAUAUUUAUCAUUUACCCAUGGAUCUGAUGGAUAAACGCUAUACGAUCCUAAGCAUGUAUAUAGAUCGAAUCUAACUAAGCCAAGUACAUAACUAUGAUAAACUAAGAACAAUAUAAUCUUGAAUAUAAGCAAGUAGAGCAAAGUCAUAAGCAAUAUAUUGAAGUAGAACAAAGUCAUAUUCAUAAUAUUGAAGAACAAAGAUAAUUAGAAAGUAAUUAGAAGCACAAUUAGAGAAUUACCAAGAAUCCUCUUGACAGAUCCGGAAACCAAUCGAAGAUUGACUCCUUCUAGUUCUAAUCCUAUGUAGCUAUGCUAAUCUAGAUGUCUAAUUGAUGUGGUGGCUCUAAUCUUGAUUAGAGGCUUCUUCUCCCUUGAUGGAACAAUGAAUUAGGGUUGAGAGGCUCUCUCCUCCAGGGGCCAGGGGGUCUGGUUUUAUAGUCCCUCCAAGUGAAUAUGGGCCAUUGGAUCAAACCGACAUAGAUUGUAUGGUUUAGAUUCAUCCUUUAGGUCGGUGGAGAUCUCCCACGAAGCAGAGUCCUGAUUGGACUCAAGGAGGGGGCGGGCGCCCUGCCUCUGGCCCCGUUUCGCCUCCGCUUCGGUCUCGUGGCUUCUGGAGUCUUCUAGAUGUAAGAUAAUUGCGCGGCACGUUAAUAUCUCUAUGUAAUCCCGACGUGUGGGCCUUUCUUCCAUAUUUCCUGAUAACCCCCUGCAGAAAUAGACAAACACCAAAACUCGUGGAAUUCUGUCAGAUAAAACCCUAAGUCUAGAUCUUGAUUUCAUUUGGAUCCUUUUCUUUAUUUAUUUGAUAAUUAAAUUUGAUACUUAAGGACCGUCAACAUGGUGCUUGUUACUCUUGGAGGUUGCCACCUCCUAGACGGCUUGGUGGCUUGUGACUCCGUCGAAGCACGCAAGGAGAUUGUGAGGUGCUCCGGAGAAGAGAUUGUGAGGGGUACGGUGCUCACCACGCGGGGAUCACGAAGAGCAACUCUAUUGGAUCGUGCGUGUCAUUGAGCUACCUCACUUGUGGGUAGGUUCUUGCGGUGUCCUAGUGGGGACGAGGUUCGUGUAACACCUCUUAGCCGCCGAACCACCAAGUGUUGGUCGACACAACGGGAACGUAGCUUGGUGGCAACCAAGUGAACCUCGGGAGAAAAUCAUCGUGUCAACAUUGUUCUUCCCGUUGGUUUGCAAGUCCCUAACACAAGCUUGUUCUUACAUUCAUAUAUUUGUGCUUGUGUAGUUGCUCUUGUAAUUAGUUAGCUUGUGUAGCUUGCUAGUUACCUUCUUGCUUGUGUAGCUAGAAGUAGUUCCCUUUGCGUGACUAAUUUGGUUUGUGUAACCUUGUUAGUCACUUUGCUUAGUUUGUGUAGCUAAGUAAGUUGCGCUCUCUAAUUUGGCAUUAGUUGCCUUGUUAUUGAGCUUGCUAGUGAGCUUAGGCUCUGUGCGCUUUGCCUCACUAGUUUGAGUAGGAACUCCCCCGGUUUGCAAAGUACUGGUUGCAUAGGUUUGUGUGACCUUGCUCCUAGAAUUGAUUAGGUGAAGCUCUUGCUAAGGUAGCACCUUGCUUGCUUGUUUAGGAUCUUUUCAAGGUGCUAGAGAACUUAGAUAGAGGGGUGUAGUCUUGGCUAGACCGAUAGUUUUAAUUCCGCAUUUGUUUCGGUUAGCCAGCGUAAUAAUUUUUAGAAAGGACUAUUCACCCCCCCCCCUCUAGUCCGCCAUCUCGACCCUUCAAGUGGUAUCAGAGCUAGGUCUCUCUUUUGUGGUCUUCACCGACCCGAGAGGAUGGCGUCUAGUGGGAUAGAUGAUUGUGAGACACACAUUUUUGAUGGUACAAACUUUGCACUUUGGAAAAAUCACAUGCUUGAUCAUUUUCGUGCAAAGGGACCUAAAUUUUGGUGGAUUGUCACUAAUGGUCUCACACACAACUUGGACCAUAAGAAUCUCACCAAAGCUCAAAAGGUUCUCUUUGAACUUUAUUGUGAAGCUUAUUGUUUUCUAAUGAAAUCUUUGAGCUUUGAGUUGUUUGAUAGGAUAAACUCCAAAGGAACCGCAUAUGAAAUAUGGGAGUCUAUCAAACACACCUUCGGUGAUUCUUCCACAUGGGAUGAUGGCAAGUUCAAAAAGGAGGAACCAAAGGUGGAGAAAAUUAAGUGCAUAUUUUCUAUUGCGCCGGUGGGAAGUUUGGAGAAGUCGUGGGAAGUGUUUCUCAGUAAGAAACACUCACCGGACGCUCUGUGCAGAGGCACCGGACGCUGGCCUUUAGCGUCCGGUGUACUGUCGGGUGUAGCAGAGUGCACCGGACGCACCGGAGUGAGUCCGGUGCUCAGCGUCCGGUGUGCGGGCGGUUUGGCGACCCUCUCUGCGCAUGAGUCCGGUGAGCACCGGACGCUCAGGGCGCGUCCGGUGGCUUGCGUCCGGUGACCCUGCGACUUUGCGGAGAUCUCUGCGCACGAGUCCGGUGAGCACCAGACGCGUCCGGUGUGACUGUUGGGUAUUAUAAACGCAAACAGAAAAAUCCGCAAGCGCACGGAUACCGAUGUAGCCUUCACCCGGGAGUAUUCCAGAGUAUCGAUUUUCUACAGGGAACGUGAGUGUACUAAUUAAGAUUCAAGAUCGCCCAAGGAGAACUAUAUAAUUAUUUUUGGUGGGAAGAGAGGAAGUUUCCUGAGAGUUCUCUAGUUGAUCUAAGAAUCAAGAAUUACUUCAAGAUUAUUUAUAUCGGGACAUCAGAGCACUAACCACAGAAAGAGAUGAGAAGGGGGCUAGGAAGGUCUGACUACGGUAGGAAGGUCUGACUACGAUCCUACAAACACCGAUCCGAACGAGGUGGAAUACGUCGACCGUUAGGGCUGUCACUACCCUAAGGCUACCACAACAAUCCGCAGGAUUGGGUGCAAUUCCAGGUAAUUGCAAGACUAAAUACCACGUCUAAUCUAUUAAUUACUACUCUAAUGUUGCAAAGAUUAGAGCACUUGAUGCAAGCGGGAAUCCAAUAAAUAACUUGAAUGUAAAUAAAAGUAAUUAAAGAACUCAGUAUUAUAAAUUGAAGAACCUGGAGAACGAUGAAGAACGAACCAGUUGCUGCAAAAGUACUAUGUUGAGGAAGAUCCGACAGAUCCGGCUCCUCCUCCUCCGUUCUCCUCUUCUCUCUCCCUAUUUUCUAGAUUACAACUAGAACGAACUAGAACUAGAACUAGAGGAACUAGAACUAGAACUAGAUGAACUAGAACUAGAUCUAGAUGAACUAGAAGUAGAACUAGAAGAACUAGAGGGAUCCUCUCUACUUGGAUGAAGAAUUGAAACCCUAGCUUUGAUUCUGUAGAAGAGGUAUGAUCUCCAGGGGCCAGGGGAUCUGGUUUUAUAGUCCCUUCAUGUGAAUCUGGGCCGUCGGAUCAAACCGACAUUGAUCGCACGGUUUCCUUGAUCCUUUAGGUCGGUGGAGCAUAAUCCGCGAAACGUGUCCUGAUUGGGCACUGUAGCUGGGCGGGCGCCCAGGAGAGUUGGGCGGGCGCCCUGCCUCCGAGCCCGAUUUCCUUCCCGUUCGUUCCCGUGGCUUCUGGAGUCUUCUAGAUGAUAGAAAAUUGCGCGACACGUUAAUAUCUCUAUGUAAACCCGACGUGUGGGCCUUUCUUUCAUAUUUCCUGAUAACCCCCUGCAGAAAUAGACAAACACCAAAACUCGUGGAAUUCUGUCGGAUAAAACCCUAAGUCUAGGUGUUGGUUGCAUUUGGAUCCUUUUCCAUGAUUAGUUGAUGGUUAAAUGUGAGCAUUAUGGACCGUCAACAAGCUCCCCCAAGCUUAACCUUUGCUCGUCCCUGAGCAAAGCUAAAAUUAGCAAGAAAACAGGGGUUACUUUUAUGCCUCUUACUACAGGGUUUUUAAGUUAUCACUAAGGUCUUAAGUGAUUGAAAAACAGAACAAUCAAGUCAAGCACUAUGUCUCAAGUUCUUCUGUCUUACCUUUGCUCUGGAGUUUUUUUUAUAAGUCUGCAAAAUAAAACCGAGGCAUUUGCCUUCUUCUCAAAAGAUAUAUAUAAAUAGAGCUUUAAAAGUUUUAGCAUACUUAUUUUGCAUUUUGCUAUGUCAACGCUCGGAGUAAGGGAGAGGAAUGUCAUACUCCUAGAUCAAGACCUUUGACCUUUUUGAAAAGUUUGUCAUCUCUUACUGGCAUAUUGCUUAUUAGAGGGACCAUGGGCUAUCAUUUUUUUUCUAUUUUUUUCAGUCUCUUUUUUUUCAAGUGGGCAGCAAGUACCCCUAAUUCUACUAUCGGACACAUGUCCAUUUUUUUCCACUCAGGAGGGUAUCUUUGUACCCCUAAUUCUACUUCGGACACUUGUCCAUUUUUACCUCUCGUCUCACUCUCUUUUUUUUCGAGUCACAUUUUUGCAUAGUCCCAUGCCUCUAACGCAAUGAUACUUCGGAAGAGUGAAUCUUUUAUAUUUUUAAAACAAAAAGAUCUUGAUCUUGGGAGCAUGAUAAUUCUCUCAACGAAAACUACAAGAAUUAACAAUGGCUUGAACAAAGCAAGUGCCCAUAGUUUUAAUAUUUAUAUCUUAUAAGACUCUAGGUAUUAUGAUCUCAUAUAUUUUUUAUGAAUUUUUAGAUUUUCAAAAGAUAAAAUCUCCAGAACUCUAGCAAAACUUGGAACAAGUUAAAUAGUAGCUCAAACCUUCUCAUAUCAUGUUUGUCAAUUACCUAGACUUGAAUCAAACUUUUUUUAUUUUUAUUUAAAACUUAGGAUUACACAAAACUAUUGUAUAUUACUCAAAAGAAAAACUUUGUUUGGUUUCAUGGUUAUGCAUUUUUUUUAUUUCUGAAUACUAGUAAAUAAAACCAAAGGAAGAAAAGUAAUACUUAUCUAGAUACACGUGGGGGUGCCUCCCCCAAGCGGGAUGUUGACAUAGUCGUUCACUCUUGUGGCCUGCAUGGUUGGUCUCACUCUUCUUAAGCCUCAAAAUCCUGCACAACCCAAAUAGACAACAAAACUUGUGGAACAUGUUAAGGGUUAGGUAAUUGUCUAGAGCUUAUGAGAGCUUAAUGUGAGAAUUCUAUGAACUCCAUCACAUCAAGUUCCUCUACCAGGUUGUUUUGUGGCUCGAGAUAGAUUUUCAAGUGUUGACCAUUUACCUUAAAAGUGUUACCUAUGUCAUCUUGGAUGGUAAUAGCUCCAUGAGUUGAAGUGUCAAUAACCUUGUAUGGUCCAUCCCACUUACUUCGUAGCUUACCAUGACCAAAGAGCUUAACUCUUGAAUUGAAUAGUAGAACCUUAUCUCCAGGCUUAAACUCCUUGUGCUUGAUUCUCUUAUCAUGCCAUCAUUUUUUUCUCUCUUUAUAGAUCCUUGAAUUGUGGUAGGCUUUCUCUCUCCAUUCUUCUAGCUUAGAUAGUUGCAUCAGACGAUUCUCGCUAGCGAGGUGGAGAUCCAUGUUCCAUUUCUUGAGUGCCCAAUGAGCCUUAAACUCUACUUCCACAGGCAAGUGACAAGUUUUUCCAUAUACAAGUUGAUAAGGUGACAUGCCUAUGGGUGUUUUGAAUGCAGUUCUAUAUGCCCAAAGUGCAUCAGGAAGUUUGUCCUUCCACCCCUUACCCAUCUCAUCUACGGUCUUUUGUAAAAUAUUUUUGAUUUGUUUGUUAGAUGUUUCGGCUUGACCGCUAGUCUGAGGAUGGUAUGGUGUUGCGACGUUGUGUCGAACUCCAUGAUCGGCUAGGUACUUUCGAAAGAUUUUGUCGAUGAAGUGGGAACCUCCAUCACUUAUAACUAUCCGGGGUAUACCAAAGCGAGGAAAGAUUACUUCAUGGAACAUUCUUUUGGCAUGUUUUCAAUCAGCUG